AUGAAUCCAGCUUGUGUCAAAUUGGCAAAUGCUACCCAGAACAGCACCCUAAUCCUGCAGAGUUGGGUUGCUUAUUCUCAGCCGCAUCCCUGAGCAUCCCUGCUUUUAUUUCUUAUCAUUGCCUGAUUCUAUGUUCAAAAUGCCUCCAAAGUGCCAACCUGGGACUGUGCAGGUGCCACAAACUCCUCAUAGUUUGAUCUCUGUGCCUAUCAAUUUUUGCAAUGCUGGAAUGGGAGCCAAGUCGAGAACACAUUAGUCUAGCAUUCUACCUGAGCACUGAGCUAGACCCAUAGCACUUACCAUUUUUAUUUAAGGGAAGGAUUCUUGGAACAGUAGAAUAGAAAUCUCUACUGGUACUCCCACCACAUGCAUGGUGUCUUCUCCUAUGACUUUUGCCCAUUUUAUGUGAAACAAAGACCACAGCCUAGGCUUUAUUCAGGAAGGAAAGCAGAAACCAAAAGCCUUCCCCAGGAUGGAGAAUUCUCAGGAGGAAGAGCACACAGGUGUGGGUCCAGCCCAUCAGGGAGUAGGUUUGUUCACAUACAGAGUUGGCCGGAACCAGCCACCCACUGCUCUUGGCUUUCAAAGGGAACAGUGUGUGCCUGGCAUCCAGAUGCCCCCUGUGAACAGCGAAGAGGCACUGAUGGAUGGCUGUGCCACAAUGAGAAAUGGAUCAAUGUAUCAUCUCACCCAGUAUUGGCAUUCUCACUGAGAAAGGAGGCACAGCAGAGGUCUUACGCAUGGAUUCCAGCUUUGCCUGUUGGGAGGACCUUCCCUCAUAGAUAAUAGGAUUGCAGCCUCACCUCUCUUGGAGUCCCUUCCUAUCAUAGCAUGUGGAUGGGGGUGGUGUGGGCAUCUUCCCCAGAAGGCCUCAGUUGAGAUCAAAGAGACCUUGCGUAUCCAUUUGAGCCUACUGCUGUGGCAACGACUUGCUGGGAUUCACGUAGUAAUGUGUGAGGCUCUGACAGCACUGAGAUCUGCCUUUAUAGUCUUUAGGUUUGUUUUCCUGAAUGAAUAGGUUGACCAGUGCCCAAAAGCAGAGCUCAUGCAACAUUCCACUGCUGCUGGGUUCAGCUCAAAGCAGACCCCACACCACUGGCUAAUGGAAGACUGUGCUGCAGAGGUGGUAGAGAGCCCUGCCUAGAAAGACUGAAGUCUUGAGAGUUCCUAUUGUUCUUGGGGUUCUCAGAAGAACCAAAUGCCCCUGAACUCACCUUGGCUCCUGUUUCCAAGUCUCACUGGAACCCAGGAACUCAGGUCCCUCAAGCCUGUAGCACUAACUGUGCCUGUCUGCAUCCCUACUUGCGAUACUCUUCUGCCUGCAGGUCCAUUCACUCACUACCACAAAUACCCACAUCCUGAACAUAGCCGGUGAACCUUGUCUUGCUUUCUGCCUGUGGGUGGAGCUGGCUUCCCACAGCUGCCUCCAUCAGUCAGCUCAGCACGGACAGCCAGCGGGUGCUCCUCUAAUCAGAGCCACAAAACUUCUCCCUCUUACUUGGCUUCCCAUGACAUGCAGCUCACCAGAAGCUGGGUUACAUGUGUCUAGUGGCUAUACCUCCCCCAACCUCCAUCUCACCCCAUCGGUCCAUCUGCUUUAUGUCAAGUACUAUGCUGGCAGUGGGAUGAAGGGAGGCUGGAGUCAUUGGAAGCAUCCUCCUGGAGCCACGUCUUGUGGACAACAGACCUGGGAUCAGCAAAUGGAGAAUGCCUUCUUUCCAGCCAUAUAAAGGAUACACUUCAGAGAAGGGCCUUACAGAAGGGCUUUCUUGUUUAUCUUUCAGGGCCUGUGACAGGGUACCCUCACACAGCUGCUGGCCUAACUAGACCUACUGGGGAACAGAAAGUAGAGUUUCUCAGUAGCAGGGGUAGCUUUUGAGUUAGGCUGCGCCAUGCACAUGAGGCCUAGAAAGACACCGUAGAGCACAGGGAUCCCAUUGGAGCUUUCGGUGAGGACCAUGACAAUGACAAAGGAUUCCGAGCUUGAAGGAUGUAAAAUUCAAGAAUCUAUGCAGGAUCUAACUGGAAGAAGCAUCUUUUAGUCCCAUCUGCACCUUCUGGGAGUGCUGCCUCCCCGGCUGCAUGGGGUCCUUGGCCAUGCUGGUCACUCUGGUAGGCUUGCCCAUUCUUUCUACCAUGUCCUAGGGACCUCCUAUUCUGUCUCUGUGCAUAGAUGUGCAGAAGGUCCCUGGGACUUGAACAAACUUCCCCUUCAUCAGCUAGUUACCUUCCCAGAGCUCCAUCUCUCAUACCAUAACGAGACAGAAACAUGAGUUCCUGAGGUACACAGACCGAACAUUAUGUCUCCCCUGCCUCUCACCAGCAAUAGUUGUCCCUGACUCCUCUCCUGAGUUCUUCACCAUGGUUCUUCCUUCUAGGUGACCCAAGAGCUGGUAUUGAAUAAGGCUCAUUUUAUUAGGGACCAACACCACCAACCAAAAACCAUAUCGCACCAGAGAAGGGAGUAUGACGUCACAUGCCUCCUCUCUGGUAAAUACAAAACUCAAGGAAAACAACAAGUGUUUGGACUUUGCUGAGGACACAGUUAAUAUUUGCAUCAGAGGACCAUCAACACAUGGAAAAGGUGCUAAUCCAGGCAGUCCACCUGAGUACAGAGGAGGAGGAGCGCUGAAUGACUGAAAACUGCCUCUUCUUACUACAAGCAGAAUGUCCUUCCUUGACUGCGUUCUUCCGCCUGGGCAGGAUGCCUGUCUUGAAGAGUCCUUUAAUUUAUCAGUGAAGGUUCUAUUCUUGGAGCUUUAUUUCAGAUGAAGACUUGCUGCCUUAGCCAUCUCUGUGGAAAUGGGGCCAAGAAGACCUGUGGACAGCAGCGCCUAAUGCAUCUUUGGGAAUGCUUCAUCUGCCCAACAUUGUGGAACAAGAGGACGUGCUAUACAGAAGACUUUCUCAAAUAGCUAGCAUUUGCCAACUUGAGCUGCAAAGCACAGAUACACAAGCCAAUUCUGAUAGACUCAGAAAUACUUGCAAGCAUUUCUAAGGGUCUCAGAACUGUUGACAUUUCUUUCUCACUGGACCAAGGACUCUACCGACACCAAGUACCAGAUGCAGAACUGAAGCCCUAGGCUGUACCUGUAGGUCAUGGAGGAGCACCUGCUCGAACUGUUCACUAAGAGUCAACAAAGAUGAGAGCCAUCUAGAACAUUCCUCACAAGGUCUGAGGGAAUAGUUGAGGCCAUCUGGCAUGUGUCCUUGCUCAUGAAGAUAUAUGAGAAUGACAGAGGCCAGGCCUGAGGAAGAUGGUGGAUGCUAGAGAGAGUGGACAGCAACUGGAUGGAAAGUGGAAGACUGAUGUGCAACCCUGAGUCCUAAUCAGCUGGCUCAGAGCCCCUGUGAGCAGACAUUGUGCUAUAAAGAACCCUAAUGUAAGCAGACACUUUGUAGGGCUCUAAUAUGCUAUCCUGUGUUCCCUAUAAGUAUACACUAUACAGAAGCCUAGUAUCCCACCCUGGGAUCCCCAAAGAGUAUUCAGUGUACAUAAUCCUGAAACCUGAAUCAGACAAAGCUGUUUAUUUAUGACAUCAUACUGAGACUGAGGCAAAACCACUUCUGGGAUCAUUCCUGGACAUUACAAAGAUAAGUCCACAGCAGCCACAGAUGCCACUUCCCUGGCUCAUUUGAUGACUAGAAGAGCUGCUGCUUUCCUCAGGCUUCCUGUCAGAGACUCCUAUCCAGUUGAACACCCUUUCAGGGUCCCAGCGGGCCUUUGUCUUAGUUAUAGUUUCUAUUGCUGACCAUGAACAAAAGCAACUUGGGGAGGAAAGAAUCUAUUUCAUUCUAUAGCCAUAUAUAGUCCAUCAUCUAGGGAAAUGAGGGUAGGAGCUCAAGACUGGCACUGAUGCAUAGACCAUGGAAGACUGCCUGCUCACUUAUAACGUGAUCACCCUGCUCUUCUACACCACCGAUGACCACCCAUCAAAGGGUGUCACCACCUAUGGUGAGCUGGACCUAAUCAUCAACCAUCAGUCAAGAAAAAGCACCAUAGGCUUGUUCGUAGGCUAAUCUUGUUAGGAGCAUUUUCUCAAUUUAGAUUCCCUCCUCCAAAAUGGCUGUAGCUUGUGUCGAGUUGACAGAGAACUAGCCAGCACAGACUUAGUAGCAUCUAUAUUCCUACUUCCCUACCAAAAACCUACCUCAGCUCCCUGUCCUGUGUCUGUCUCAUAUUAAAUUCAUUAAGUCCCAGAAUUUUCUUGAGUGUGCCCUGGGUGGUCACAGGCAGAAGGGUAUCCUCUACAUCCUGAGUUGGGACAUCACUGCAAGGCUUGGGGCAGCUAGCAAGCAGGGGCAUGCACAGGGGCUGUGAGGACUGACAAUUCAGCAGGGUAGAUGGGGAGAAUGCAGCUGCCUUUGUGGGAACUAUCUGGCCCAAACAAUAAUUUCCACAGUAACCAGGAAUGUAGAUGGGUACUAAACCCCAGGCCAUGAAGCAUGUUUUAUUCCUAGAUACCCCCAAAAGAAACUGAAUCCCAUCCCACAUGGCUUCAAUGGAGCCCUCUCUUCUGCCUUCAAAGGUAGGAAUUGAAAAGAGAAUACUGAAGUAAAUGCUUCCCUGUUUAGCCAGCCCUGGGUGAGCAUGCGGUACACAAGCUGGAGCUAUCACAG
rnacentral:sRNA from 1 species